UACGUAGGGUGCAAGCGUUGUCCGGAAUUAUUGGGCGUAAAGAGCUCGUAGGCGGUUUGUCGCGUCUGCUGUGAAAUCCCGAGGCUCAACCUCGGGCUUGCAGUGGGUACGGGCAGACUAGAGUGCGGUAGGGGAGAUUGGAAUUCCUGGUGUAGCGGUGGAAUGCGCAGAUAUCAGGAGGAACACCGAUGGCGAAGGCAGAUCUCUGGGCCGUAACUGACGCUGAGGAGCGAAAGUGUGGGGAUCAAACAGGAUUAGAUA
rnacentral:rRNA from 1 species